GUGCAGCAGUCGCGAAAACUUUGCAAUAAGCGAAAGCUUGACAGGGCUAUCCCGAGUGCCAUCCGCUGAGGAAGGCUUUUACCCAGUCUAGAAAGCUGGGGGAAUAAGGAGAGGGCAAGUCUGGUGUCAGCCGCCGCGGUAAUACCAGCUCUCCGAGUGGUGGGGACGUUUAUUGGGCCUAAAGCAUCCGUAGCUGGCUGAGUUAGUCCCCUGUUAAAUCCACCGAAUUAAUCGUUGGAUUGCGGGGGAUACUGCUCGGCUAGGGGACGGGAGAGGCAGACGGUAUUUUCGGGGUAGGGGUGAAAUCCUAUAAUCCCGGGAAGACCACCAGUGGCGAAGGCUGUCUGCUAGAACGCGCCCGACGGUGAGGGAUGAAAGCUGGGGGAGCGAACCGGAUUAGAUACCCGGGUAGUCC
rnacentral:rRNA from 1 species